CCUACGGGAGGCAGCAGUGAGGAAUAUUGGUCAAUGGGCGCGAGCCUGAACCAGCCAAGUCGCGUGAGGGAAGACGGUCCUAUGGAUUGUAAACCUCUUUUGUCGGGGAGCAAAAGACGCCACGCGUGGCGUUCCGAGAGUACCCGACGAAAAAGCAUCGGCUAACUCCGUGCCAGCAGCCGCGGUAAUACGGAGGAUGCGAGCGUUAUCGGGAUUUAUUGGGUGUAAAGGGUGCGCAGGCGGUGGUUCAAGUCAGCGGUAAAAUUGAGAGGCUCAACCUCGUCGAGCCGUUGAAACUGGUAGUCUUGAGUGAGUGAGAAGUAUGCGGAAUGCGUGGUGUAGCGGUGAAAUGCAUAGAUAUCGCGCAGAACUCCGAUUGCGAAGGCAGCAUACCGGCGCUCAACUGACGCUCAUGCACGAAAGUGUGGGUAUCGAACAGGAUUAGAUACCCCUGUAGUC
rnacentral:rRNA from 1 species